rnacentral:rRNA from 1 species
AGCGAACGCUGGCGGCAGGCUUAACACAUGCAAGUCGAGCGGGCGUAGCAAUACGUCAGCGGCAGACGGGUGAGUAACGCGUGGGAACGUACCUUUUGGUUCGGAACAACACAGGGAAACUUGUGCUAAUACCGGAUAAGCCCUUACGGGGAAAGAUUUAUCGCCGAAAUAUCGGCCCGCGUCUGAUUAGCUAGUUGGUGAGGUAACGGCUCACCAAGGCGACGAUCAGUAGCUGGUCUGAGAGGAUGAUCAGCCACAUUGGGACUGAGACACGGCCCAAACUCCUACGGGAGGCAGCAGUGGGGAAUAUUGGACAAUGGGGGCAACCCUGAUCCAGCCAUGCCGCGUGAGUGAUGAAGGCCCUAGGGUUGUAAAGCUCUUUUGUGCGGGAAGAUAAUGACGGUACCGCAAGAAUAAGCCCCGGCUAACUUCGUG